AGCAGAGGACUGGUUUUCGGUCCCCUCUGGAGUAAUCCGGAGUGCAAAACUGGGUGAAUUCGGGGAAGCCUGUUUCCGCAGCCAUUGUGCGCCGGAAUGGUAAUCCCGAGCCAAGCCCUGGAGGGUUUAGUCCCAGGGAAGGUGUAGAGACUACGAGGUGAGUCCCAACAAUAAUCCUCGAUAAGCGCCCAGCUCCCGUUAAACCGGGAUGAAGAGAUAGUCCAAGCCUUACGGAAACGUUUGG
rnacentral:ncRNA from 1 species